rnacentral:rRNA from 1 species
AUUGAACGCUGCGGCAGGCUUAACACAUGCAAGUCGAGCGAGCGGCGGACGGGUAAGUAUUGCUUAGGAAUCUGCCUAUUAGUGUUGGACAACAUCCCGAAAGGGAUGCUAAUACCGCAUACUUAUACAUUCGCCUAAGUCGGAUUAGGUAGUUGGGGGGGUAAAGGACUACCAAGGCGACGAUCUUUAGCGGGGCUGAGAGUAUGAGCCGCGAAACUGGGACUGUGACACGGCCCAGACUUCUACGGGAGGAAGCAGGGGGGAAUAUUUGGCAAUGGGGGGAAUCCGGAACCAGCCAUGCCGCGGGUGUGAAGAAGGCCUUAUGGUUGUAAAGCACUUUUAUCGAGGAGGCGUUACUCGAAGAAUAAGCACCGGCUAACUCUGUGCCAGCCGCCGCGGUAAUUC